rnacentral:rRNA from 1 species
UACGAAGGGGGCUAGCGUUGCUCGGAAUUACUGGGCGUAAAGCGCACGUAGGCGGAUUGUUAAGUCGGGGGUGAAAUCCUGGAGCUCAACUCCAGAACUGCCUUCGAUACUGGCGAUCUCGAGUUCGGGAGAGGUGAGUGGAACUGCGAGUGUAGAGGUGAAAUGCGUAGAUAUCUGGAGGAACACCGGUGGCGAAGGCGGCAUCCUGGACCGGCAUUGACGCUGAGGCGCGAAAGCCAGGGGAGCAAACGGG